rnacentral:rRNA from 1 species
CCUACGGGGGGCAGCAGUAGGGAAUCUUCCACAAUGGACGAAAGUCUGAUGGAGCAACGCCGCGUGAGUGAAGAAGGGUUUCGACUCGUAAAGCUCUGUUGGUAGUGAAGAAAGAUAGAGGUAGUAACUGGCCUUUAUUUGACGGUAAUUACUUAGAAAGUCACGGCUAACUACGUGCCAGCAGCCGCGGUAAUACGUAGGUGGCAAGCGUUGUCCGGAUUUAUUGGGCGUAAAGCGAGUGCAGGCGGUUCAAUAAGCCUGAUGUGAAAGCCUUCGGCUCAACCGGAGGAUUGCAUCAGAAACUG